rnacentral:lncRNA from 1 species
GCCAUAGCCUGCACGAGUUGGUCUGUUCAACUUGGCCUGUCAAAAUUCCAGUUGGAAGUGAGACAGAUAAUGUUUGAUGUCUACAAAAAACAAUAAACCGUGACAAUCUUGACUUGCAUAACUGAUUGGCCAAUUGCUAGACUAGAACCUUGUACAAGAGCUAGAAUCGUAGUUCAACCCCUUUGCAUCAUUGCAGAGUGGGGGGGGGGGGGGGGGGAAUCUUUUUGGUUUUNGGGGGGGGGGUAAAAUUCCUUAAUAUUUCUAACAAUAUUUUUGAUGAAAUGCUCUGUCUAGAUUGAAAACUACCGUUCAAAGUCCUAUUCGACACAGGUAACUAUUAUCUACGUACCCUUCCAUAAAAAAACUAAAAAUCUCUACAUAGUUUAAAUCUAACAGUAAUAGGCAAUUUAACCUUCCUUUUUAUCCUAUAGAAAAGGCAAGUAAGCCUCAAGAGCAUGACUAAAACGUAACAAACUCACAUCUAAGAACCAAGCUUUCAUUUCAUAUCAGAUUCCAUCAUUGAGCUAAGAUUCGGUUUCCAAAGUUCAUACCUGGUAGAACAAAAAAUAUCCAGUAUACCCGUCACAACAAGUUUGGUGACACUAUGAUACUCUUCUGAGAACGUAUAUGGGCAAAGAUAUAAUGUCUGGAUGAAUAAACUAUUUUUUGAACCAAUAUUCAACAAGAAAUCAUUGGAAGGCAAUUGCGAGAAGUCUAAAAUUGCUAAUGACUUGAGUUUUGUCCAAUUGUAACUUUUUUAUGAAUCGGUCAAUCUAUAUCAUCAAACCCAAAUAGGGCACCCGUUCACUGAACCAAACUCAAAACCUCAAAACUUAAGAAAGAAAAAGCAAAAUGAACAUUAAAACUCUUCCGCAAACAGGAACAAAUCGCAGCAGCCAAGCUAUCUACAGAUCUGGGAACUCCUGAAUGCAACUUUUAUUAUGUAAAGCACAGCAGUUGGAAUGAAGCAACCUUUAAUUGGUAAGAUGGAGUAGAGUACUCAACCCAUCUCAUCAUAUCCCAUUACAAGUGCCUCACCCCGAAUCACAUGAUACUAGCGAGAAAUAAAAGGGACUUUUAAAGACACGAAUCAAAACCAAAUCAAAGUGCUUCAGUAAUGAGUAAACAUGUAUUUGAUUAGAGCUUUGUUCAGGAUUGAUGAAAUUUACUGAAAACAACAUUUGAAGUACCUUGGGAGGUGCCAUUGGGUGUUCUUCCGGCAAGAACAAUUCCAACUUAAAAACACCACCUAAUAUCAAUACUGAACCAAAGAGGUUUCCGGAAAAGAAUCUCAAUUAUAAACCCCACUGUAAAAAAUGUACGAUCGUACUUAGGGACAAAGAAUAAAAAAAAAAAACUCUGCCGAUUCUCCGAGACUAAGUCCCAGAAGCCUCACCAUUGUCACCCUUUCAUCAUAAGCCCAGAGUACUCUCAAGAAUCAGAUCGAAGAAGCGAUGAUCUAACCUCAAACCAAAACGAAACACAGAUAACCAUGCAGAGCAUCUAACUCGCAAAACCACCCUUAAUCCUUCCUCAAAACCCCCCAAUUUACUGACAGCACCAGAAGUUCCCCUGUACUACCAGCGGUUCCAUUGAAAUGUUAACUAAUCCUACUCGUGAAACCAGAAACCCUAAGUAUG